UACAGAGGUCUCAAGCGUUGUUCGGAUUCAUUGGGCGUAAAGGGCGCGUAGGCGGCGGGGUAAGUCGGGUGUGAAAGUCUCAGAGCUCAACUCUGAAAUGGCACUUGAUACUGCUCUGCUAGAGGACUGGAGAGGAGAUUGGAAUUCACGGUGUAGCAGUGAAAUGCGUAGAUAUCGUGAGGAAGACCGGUGGCGAAGGCGGAUCUCUGGACAGUUCCUGACGCUGAGGCGCGAAGGCCAGGGGAGCAAACGGG
rnacentral:rRNA from 1 species